ACGGCAGCCUCGCUCCGGCUCGGCCGUCAGUCGCACACGCACAGACGGCUGCCUAGCCCACCGUCCCGCACAGGCCCAGCCGUGGCAGUUUCCUCAAGCCCGCUCCCGGAGCGCCGCCUGCGCAGCGACCGGGCGGAGAGCCACUCCCUAGACUCACCCCUGCCAUCCGCGUCACAGGACACCGCCCAAGCUAAAGACAACUUUGGUCACAGUGGAGUCUGUCUGACAGAUGUUGAGCCAGGCAGAGCAGGACAACAUACUGCAUUUCAGAGCAUGAACCGUUCUUCUAGAAUGGACCCAGAACUGGCCGUCUAAUACCCCAGCUCAGAAGGGUGGAGUAUAAAUGCCCACAGCAGAUAUGGUUUUCUUCAUUUUGCUAUCCCGCCAUCCAGAUCCAAGAUACCUUAGUCUGCAAGUUCAUCAUGGACUUCUCAAAAGUUUUUGGUGGUGCCCUCUGAUGGUUACAAAGAAUUGCAACAGCUCGGUUGGCACGGUUAUAAGAUAGGAUCUUUGCUGGGAUGUUUUCAUCAGCUGUGAAGAAAGAAACAUGGUAAUAAAAGAGUCAGUGUGUAUAACAAGAAAUAAUACCCAGUGCUUCAUCCUCACUAUUAACUGGUCCUCAUCUAGCGCAGAUGAUCAGUUCAAGUUGGCACAAGGUCAAAAUCUGAGUCAACAGAAUCAUCUGCUUGCCUCAGUGCUCCCCCAUCUAACCACUCAAAGUAGCCUGAAGAAAAUAUGGAAUUGGGACAGAGAAAGUGUAUAGAGGAAGGUAAGACAAAGGCACUAUAAAUUUUACAUUUUAAAACCACAAAGUACUGUAUCUUUCAAUAAGAAAAAUAAAAAGUGUCAUCCAAGAA